ACGUUACGCGCAAACACUCGAGCGUGGCCGUGCCAUGCGGGCACGUAUGCUCGUGUUACAUUUGCAUACGCGAACACAACCGAGCAAAGACAGGUGUACAACAAAGGGAUACCUUUUGUGCGGGCCUUUCCGUACGUCCACGACCUUUUAAGCGAUACGCCUUGUCAAGCUGGCUGCGUCAACUUUUCGCAAUCGGACACGACGAUAUAGUUCGUGACGCUGGCAACUAUUUGGAAAAAUCUGGGACAUUCUGUAUAUGUAGCGUGAACGAGCCAAAUGACACACCCUGUAUAACACGUCCAUUUCUCAAGUAACAGGAAUCUUGUUCGGUUAUUUCAAAGAGAGUGCGUAAUUACCCUCGGUUCUUCAUUUCAACUCGUCGAGUAAGAGCUACCGGCCUGUAGCUUCCGAACCCUUUGUCGCUACUCGAAACAAUACCAUGCAACGCGUCGUGCGACAUAUGGCUAACAACGGGAAAGGAAUAAAGUGGAGAAUCGAUACCUUGGAGAGAUAACAAUUUGCGUCAGAGUCAGACGUCACAUUGUUCGAUCGUUUUACACGAUAUUUGAAAUUUACGGUGCCGCAUUCGUGCGACGACUUAUGCUGUGUCAUGGAGCUCGAGGUCUGCUCUUAUCCAACUGCGGUUACAAUGGAAUAAACAUAUCUUUAACAAACCA
rnacentral:lncRNA from 1 species